GUUUCUGUUCAAGAAUGUGCUGUGGGAUCUGUCUGCACCAAGGCUUGUGGUGGCUGCAGCAUGACCUGUUACUUUUGUAGCAAAACAAUCACAUAAGCAUUUCAAAACUGAAAAGAUGAGAUUUCAACAGAACUUCAUGCUUAUGCCAGGAUGCUUCAGAUUAUGUUGUGAACCAGCCUCCCCUACCCACUUCAGGGGUACUUGGCCAAUGAGAGACCAUCCAAGGAUUUUGAAGAGGACAAUGAGAGAAUGAUGUGAUAUGUUCUGCUUUUUAAGAUAAAGUACAGGAGAGUACAGGAGAAGGCAACUUCAUUUGAAAUCCUGAAAGAUGGUCCUGAGUUCAGAACUGAGUAAGAGACUCAGAUGUCUCCUAUCAACUACAAUACAUGCUCCAGGCCACCAUCACCGCAAUUCCAGGGAGGUAUACCUCUCACCACCUCCAAAACCUUGAUCGAAAUGCAAGCAUUCUACACAUGCUCCACAUUUAGAAGUAGCAAUCAGAAGCUGAGGAGAGCAUGCCUUGCUCAGAGGCUAGAAGAUCUGCCACAGCAACCAUCUGUUUAAAGUCCCUGGAUGCAAGUAAAAGGGGAAAAAAAUCCAAAGACUUUAUAUGUGCUGGUUGAUUGCAUAAAGGAUCAUAAAGUAGGAAUAAGAAUCCCAGUUCUAGGCUAGAACAAUCCUUGAAGGUGAUAAACAGAAAAUACAGCAAAACUUUUAUCAUGGGUGUUUGUGUGUAUUUGGGUGGUGGUAGUGGGAAUAGGCAGGUUAGGUUGAUUAACCAAAAAUGUAUUCAUCUUUAGUAUGCCAUUAUCAGUGAUAUGAAUUGCUCUGGAAUAAGUGGAUUGGACUUACUCGUGCAAUCACAUUUAGAGCCAGUGGUAGAAAUGCAAAUCUGAAAUGAGAACAGCAGCCCAUGCUAUCCAUUUAGCUAAUUAUGUAUUGAGUAGCUCCUACAUGUCAGACAAGCCUGCUCAUAACAUAAUAUGUGGGGCCCAGGGCAAAUGCACAAAGGGACUCAGUUCCACCUACCAUAUGUCUGAAGAUUUGCAAGUUAUACAUUAACAGCAUUUAAUAAAAUGUGUUCUGUUCUCCUACCUUGACAAAUAAAGCAUAUCUUCAUAAUGAUCUGGAAGCCAG
rnacentral:lncRNA from 1 species